AGAUCUUCCUCACAACCAGUGUCCCUGUGAAGAAUGGACACAAUCAUCCACAACCACCUCCCAUCAUCCCCAUGGUGGCACCACUGUGGAAAUGGGAUGGUGGAGCGUGUACUCCACCUGUGGAUUUCUAUUCCAAGAGAAGAGAUUGUCUGGGAUCCAACUCUGCACAGAUGGGUUAACAAAACUGAGCCCAAGGCUGAGAACAAGUGUGUACCACCACCUCCACCGAUGGGGACAUAUGGAUAUCAGGGGAACACUGGC